CACGUAGGGUGCGAGCGUUGUCCGGAAUUAUUGGGCGUAAAGAGCUCGUAGGCGGUGUGUCGCGUCGGCCGUGAAAACCUGCAGCUUAACUGUGGGCUUGCGGUCGAUACGGGCAUCACUGGAGUUCAGCAGGGGAGACUGGAAUUCCUGGUGUAGCGGUGAAAUGCGCAGAUAUCAGGAGGAACACCGGCGGCGAAGGCGGGUCUCUGGGCCAUAACUGACGCUGAGGAGCGAAAGCGUGGGGAGCGAACAGG
rnacentral:rRNA from 1 species